AUACCAAGUCAAUAGUAACACCACACAGGGCUAGUGAGUAACCAGAUCACCGGUCCCCCAGUUACCACCAGUCAAUGCUACACACUGCCCAAAGUUCUACACGACAUCAGGGAUCACCAGAACACUAACAAUCACCAUUCCUCACCAGUAUCCUUCAAGCAACCACAAGAAACUACCAGGAAAGUAUACGCGGGAAUGAACAGGCGGACAUGCUAGCUCGGUCUGCUGAAAGCUCGAGGGAGCGUGGAACCGUCGUCGGGAUCUGCAGUCAUGUCUUUCAGUUGUUAAAUCAUCAGCAGAACUCCUGUGGCAAAGUCACUGGGACAACCUCCACCUCUACACCAAACCCAUCCUGGACAAGUGGGCCUCCUUCAAUCGCCCUACAAGACGAGAGGAAGUUGUCCUCGCACGCCUCUGAUUGGGCUGCACCUUCCCCACCCACAUGCUCCCCUACAUCGCCAACACCUUCCAAACACAGUGUUCCACAUGUAAUGUCACUCUUUCUAUCGAGCACAUCCUGCUUCACUUCAAGAGAGAGUUUUUUGGUGCUGUAACUUCACCACAUCAUCAUCAAUGCUAAAAGAAAAAAAUAAAGAAAUGAAAUAAAA